rnacentral:rRNA from 1 species
AGAGUUUGAUCCUGGCUCAGAACGAACGCUGGCGGCGCGUUUUAAGCAUGCAAGUCGAACGGUAUAUGGAAGCUUGCUUCCAUAGAGAGUGGCGAACGGGUGAGUAACACGUAGGUAAUCUACCUCUGGAUGGGGGAUAGUCCACGGAAACGUGGUGUAAUACCGCAUGAUCUCUGUAUUCGUAAAGUUUAUGGAGGAAAGGUGCAAUUGUACCGUCUAGAGGUGAGCCUGCGGUCCAUUAGCUUGUUGGUGGGGUAAGGGCCUACCAAGGCGACGAUGGAUAGCCGGCCUGAGAGGGUGAACGGCCACACUGGGACUGAGACACGGCCCAGACUCCUACGGGAGGCAUCAGCUAAGAAUCUUCCGCAAUGGGCGAAAGCCUGACGGAGCGACGCCGCGUGGACGAGGAAGGCCGAAAGGUUGUGAAGUCCUUUUCUUGGGGAAGAAUAAAGCGAAGAGUGGAAUGCUUCGCAGAUGACAUUAACUUUGGAAUAAGCCCCGGCCAAUUACGUGCCAGCAGCCGCGGUAAUACGUAUGGGGCGAGCGUUGUUCGGAAUUAUUGGGCGUAAAGGGCGUGUAGGCGGUUUUAUAAGCCUGGUGUGAAAUCCCACAGCUCAACUGUGGAGACGCGCUGGGAACUGUAAGACUAGAGUUUAGGAGGGGAAGCUGGAAUUCCUGGUGUAGGGGUGAAAUCUGUAGAUAUCAGGAAGAACACCGAUGGCGAAGGCAAGCUUCUAGCCAUAGACUGACGCUGAGGCGCGAAAGCGUGGGGAGCGAACAGGAUUAGAUACCCUGGUAGUCCACGCUGUAAACGAUGUGCACUGGGUGUAGGAGACGUUGAGUUUUCUGUGCCGUAGCUAACGCGUUAAGUGCACCGCCUGGGGAGUAUGCUCGCAAGGGUGAAACUCAAAGGAAUUGACGGGGGCCCCACAUGCGGUGGAGCAUGUGGUUUAAUUCGAUGAUACGCGAGGAACCUUACCAGGGCUUGACAUGUACCUGAAGGCUUAAGAGAUUAAGUCGACCUUUAGGGGACGGGUACACAGGUGCUGCAUGGCUGUCGUCAGCUCGUGUCGUGAGAUGUUGGGUUAAGUCCCGCAACGAGCGCAACCCUUACUGUCUGUUACCAGCAGGUCUUCGGACGCUGGGGACUCAGAUAGAACUGCCGGUGACAAACCGGAGGAAGGUGGGGAUGACGUCAAGUCAUCAUGGCCCG